CUGUAAGCCUGUGAAGGUGUGCUGUGAGGCAUGCUGGAGGUAUCAGAAGUGCGAAUGCUGACAUAAGUAACGAUAAAGCGGGUGAAAAGCCCGCUCGCCGGAAGACCAAGGGUUCCUGUCCAACGUUAAUCGGGGCAGGGUGAGUCGACCCCUAAGGCGAGGCCGAAAGGCGUAGUCGAUGGGAAACAGGUUAAUAUUCCUGUACUUGGUGUUACUGCGAAGGGGGGACGGAGAAGGCUAUGUUGGCCGGGCGACGGUUGUCCCGGUUUAAGCGUGUAGGCUGGUUUUCCAGGCAAAUCCGGAAAAUCAAGGCUGA
rnacentral:rRNA from 1 species